rnacentral:rRNA from 1 species
AAAGAUUAAGCCAUGCAUGUCUAAGUAUAAGCAAUCUAUACAGUGAAACUGCGAAUGGCUCAUUAAAUCAGUUAUCGUUUAUUUGAUAGUACCUUACUACUAGGAUAACCGUGGUAAUUCUAGAGCUAAUACAUGCUAAAAACCCCGACCUCUGGAAGGGGUGUAUUUAUUAGAUAAAAAACCAAUGCCUUCGGGCUCCUUGGUGAUUCAUGAUAACUUUACGAAUCGCAUGGCCUUGUGCCGGCGAUGGUUCAUUCAAAUUUCUGCCCUAUCAACUUUCGAUGGUAGGAUAGUGGCCUACCAGGGUUU